rnacentral:rRNA from 1 species
AAUACGUAGGGGGCAAGCGUUGUCCGGAAUCAUUGGGCGUAAAGCGCGUGUAGGCGGCCCGGUAAGUCCGCUGUGAAAGUCCAGGGCUCAACCCUGGGAUGCCGGUGGAUACUGUCGGGCUCGAGUCCGGAAGAGGAGUGUGGAAUUCCUGGUGUAGCGGUGAAAUGCGCAGAUAUCAGGAGGAACACCAAUGGCGAAGGCAGCACUCUGGGACGUGACUGACGCUGAGACGCGAAAGCGUGGGGAGCAAACAGGA